rnacentral:rRNA from 1 species
GACGAACGCUGGCGGCGUGCUUAACACAUGCAAGUCGAACGGAAAGGCCCUGCUUUUGUGGGGUGCUCGAGUGGCGAACGGGUGUGUAACACGUGAGUAACCUGCCCUUGACUUUGGGAUAACUUCAGGAAACUGGGGCUAAUACCGGAUAGGAGCUCCUGCUGCAUGGUGGGGGUUGGAAAGUUUCGGCGGUUGGGGAUGGACUCGCGGUUUAUCAGCUUGUUGGUGGGGUAGCGGCUUACCAAGGCUUUGACGGGUAGCCGGCCUGAGAGGGUGACCGGCCACAGUGGGGCUGAGAUGGGGCCCAGACUCCUACGGGAGGGAGCAGGGGGGAAUUUUGCACAAUGGGCGGAAGCCUGAUGCAGCAACGCCGCGUGCGGGAUAACGGCCUUCGGGUUGUAACCCGCUUUCGCCUGUGACGGAGCGUGAGUGACGGUAAUGGGUAAAGAAGCACCGGCUAACUACGUG